rnacentral:rRNA from 1 species
AGCGAACGCUGGCGGUAGGCCUAACACAUGCAAGUCGAACGGUAGCACAGUAAGAGCUUGCUCUUACGGGUGGCGAGUGGCGGACGGGUGAGGAAUACAUCGGAAUCUACUUUUUCGUGGGGGAUAACGUAGGGAAACUUACGCUAAUACCGCAUACGACCUACGGGUGAAAGCAGGGGAUCUUCGGACCUUGCGCGAUUGAAUGAGCCGAUGUCGGAUUAGCUAGUUGGCGGGGUAAAGGCCCACCAAGGCGACGAUCCGUAGCUGGUCUGAGAGGAUGAUCGCCCACACGGGAACUGAGACACGGCCCAGACUCCUACGGGAGGCAGCAGUGGGGAAUAUUGGACAAGGGGCGAAAGCCUGAUCCAGCCAUACCGCGGGGGUGAAGAAGGCCUUGGGUUGUAAAGCCCUUUUGUUGGGAAAGAAAAGCAGCAGGUUAAUACCCCGCUGUUCUGACGGUACCCAAAGAAUAAGCACCGGCUAACUUCGUG